ensembl:snRNA U2 U2 spliceosomal RNA
AUCGCUUCUCGGCCUUUUGGCUAAGAUCAAGUGUAGUAUCUGUUCUUAUCAGUUUAAUAUCUGAUACGUCCCCCAGCGGGGGACUACAUAUUAAGCGGAUUUUUAGAACAGGGAGUCGGCAAAGGAGCUUGCUCCAUCCACUCCACGCAUCGACCCAGUAUUGCAGUGCCUCUGGGAGCGGUGCACUUUCU